CCCUUAGAUGUUCUGGGCCGCACGCGCGCUACACUGACGAAUGCAACGAGCUUAUAACCUUGGCCGAAAGGUCUGGGUAAUCUCCAAAUUUCGUCGUGAUGGGGAUAGAUUAUUGCAAUUAUUAAUCUUCAACAAGGAAUGCCUAGUAAGCGCAAGUCAUCAGCUUGCGUUGAUUACGUCCCUGCCCUUUGUACACACCGCCCGUCGCUCCUACCGAUUGAAUGGUCCGGUGAAGCGUUCGGACCGUGGCCUUUGGACGGUUCGCCGUCUGUUGGCUGCGGGAAGUUCGUUAAACCUUAUCAUUUAGAGGAAGGAGAANUCGUAACA
rnacentral:rRNA from 1 species